CUCAUGUUGAUCUACAUUAGCAGGUGGCACCUGACUUGUGCCCUCUCCCGCCUUCUCGUCCAACCUCUGAAUAAAUUUCAUAGCCACUUGUCGUCUCCUAGUGUUAGGCAUCACUGAGAAGGUAAACAAAAAAUGAAUUAGGAAUAAACACUUAUGAUUAGGCUCUAUUGCACGAUCUAGAUCAAGAAGAAAGUAAUAAUCCUAAAUGCCCAAUAGCCACAUGUUUAUAAGUGUGGUGCACAACACACCAUAAACAAGACUCUACUAGACACGACUUGUAGACUCCCUAGGACCGACCUGCUCUGAUACCAAGUUUGUCACACCCCAACCUUGGGAGGUAUGGCUGGCACCCGAUGCCCGAAGGCCCGAGCGAACCAACCAUGAGAUAUGAUCCGAAAUAUAAUAACCUGCAGGCAGAAGAGCCCAACACGACAUAUAUAUAUAAACUAGGCUAACAAGGCUGUAACAACAGUAUAACAGCUAUCCAGAAGGCCGAUAGGGCGAUACGAAAAAUAUAUAUAUACAAUGACCGCUAGUCUGCAAGCCUCUAAGAGUGUAAGAAAAUCUCAACAGGGCGGGACAAAGCCCCCGACAUGCCUAAAACCACACAUAUACAUCUGUAAUAGUACCUAUGGACUCAAAGUCAGCAACUCCGAAGAAGUGGAGUGCGAAACCCAACGCUGAUCCUGGGGGUCCUACUGAGGAGGCACGCCACUCUGC
rnacentral:lncRNA from 1 species